CAUUGGCUCAACCAGUCUCAGAUUCACAAGGCACAAUGUUACAAGCAACUACUGUUCCAUUGGCUCAACCAGCUCCAGAUCCACAACCAUCUAAUGUCCAUAUGUUACAAACAGCUCCUGCGAGAAGUAUUGUACAUCCAGUCACACCUAUGGAAGGCCCGCAGGAGAAGGAAAAUGGGGAAAAGACGUGCAUGCAACAACCAACUACUG
rnacentral:lncRNA from 1 species